CUCUUUAUGCAGCCUGUACGUAGAUGCAAGAGAAAGAUGCCCAUGCAGAGUCCAGAGGAUAAGACAGCCGAAGACCAAAGUGGACUAGGAUGCUGGUCCCAGCAUGCCUAUGAAAGGAAAAUAUUGCUUGUCUUACCCAGGUACCAGCAGUCUUGGACCUAUUGGUAAAAUUACUUUUACAACCAGUCAAAGGUCUUGAAGUGGUGAUCCGCAGGUACCAUAAAGUCCUGAAGACCAAGAAGUUCCGGACCAUGUCUGAGGCUUUGCAUUACAACAACGUGGAUAGAGGCACCAUCACAGCCACAAUACCGAUCGCCAAACCCCUGUACAAGGAAAUCUACAGCACCCUGGUGUUCGACCCAUGAAUAGAAACACUGCUUGCAUUCACAAAGUGUUGUGCCGGCCAUGUAACACCAGAGAAUAAGAAGGUGAUAGAGGAUAUGAAAGCAAGAGGCCAUUUGCUCCCAUUACAGAUAAAGUAUAGUAUAUCAUUGAUAGUCUCAGCUAUGUUGCUCUGAUAAGAUACAGAGUUUAGAAGUUCUGUUAGAAGUGAGAUGUUUUUACAUUCUCCACUUUAUUACACAGGUCUACAUUCCGUGCACCUGCACUUUAGUCCAAACCCAGGGUCCCACGUGUGUGUGUGUGUGAGUGUGUGUGUGAGAGAGUGAGAAAGCCAGUAUGCUUGUCUGUGGUCAAAAAAAAACUGUACUAAGAAAGGCAAAUAUACUGAGUGAGUGAGUGGGGGCACAACAGAUAGUACACACUGUCAUGACUCUCCUGUGAAGUUCUGAAGGAUCAGGUUACAGUGGGUCCGCUCUACAGCACCCUCUCUCUCCCGCAGAGGGGGAGAGGGGUGAAGUUGGCAGUUUUAUAACGGUCGUAAAUACCUGCAGGAACUCUCUCCCACUCUGCAGAAAUGGAAGUUAAAAAUCCCUUUGCUACAGCAGAGAGAGAUUUUGUAGUACAGUGACAUCCAUGAUUGGAUAAUGAAACAAUAUUUUUUAAAUCCAAACAGUUGGAAUGGUCCGUGGGUACUUAAAGAACAAUUAUGUCAGAUCAGUUGUUGUUUUGGGAUCUCAUUAAGGACAGUAUAACAUAACUGUGUCUCUGAAUGUGUAUAUUUCCCAGUUGUCAGGUUAACAUCUAAAUGUAGUGGAAUUUAUAGGAUUAAAUAUAAAACCAUAUGUGAGAAGAUGAAAUGUAAUGUUAGCUUUCUAAAUGAUAAUUGUUUUUCAUAUAAAAGUUCCACCCAGUCAGUGACCACACCCACGUGAGCACAGAUAUUAUGUCGGCGUCAUGGAAUGCCCCCUUUUGCCAGACUGCAUAAAACCCCUCCUAACGAAAUUUACUUUAGACCAAGCAGGCAGACGGUGUUGAACCGGACGUUACAAAUGGUUAGACUCUAUGAGACCAGAAAAACAUGGAGCGUGGCUGCAAUGGUAAUGGUAAAUGGUAAGAAUUUAAAUCUCUAGAGACCAGUACAUUGCCGGGUUGCUACCUGAAAUGCAGAAUAUCCUUUUUUUAUGUAUCUUUGUAGAACUUUGACCUUUUCUGAGUCACACAAAAUCAUAGUUUCUAUCACUCCUUCAGUCUUCUGUGGACUUUAUAUGUUGGUUGGCAAGCAACUUUAAGGUGCAUUACAACCACCAACUAAACUCUAGUGUGGACCUCAGUUCAUCUUUCAAUCACCAAAGUGGUGAUAUGCUCCUAAAAACCAAUGAGGUGAUGGAAGAGGUGGAAUUUGCAGCUAGUCAAGCGUCAAAAAUAGUUAUAUUUUAGCGCCUGGCUACCCAGACACGCAGAAACAGUUUAGAUUAAAUGAUUGAAUAACAUGUAUGUGUACAUUUAUUUUGCAAUGCUCACAGUGUGGUCAGCAUGUUAGAAAAAAGGGUUCCAAAAGUGUUCUUUGGCUGUCCCCAAAACACGUUUUGGUUCCAGGUAUAACCCUUUUGGAUUCCAUGAAGAACCCUCUGUGGAAAAGGUUCUACAUGGUACCCAAAAGGGUUGUACCUGCAACCAAAAAUAUU